AAAUUAGAAUGUGGUCUAGACCUACCCUAUCUGUAAAGUGCCCGAAAAUAACUUCUGUUAUGACUUGACACUAUAAAUGCAACUGAGUUAAAUUGAAUUGAAUCUC